UUUGCAUUCUUGGACACAUGGUUAAAUUUCAAGAGGUGUGUACUUUUAUACCUGGACCCAGAACAUGUGCAGAAAUGUAAAUUCCAUUCCUCAACCUUCCCACAGGUGUGAUUGUGACAUAUAACUUUGCCCAGCCAGAAUUUGACUGAUUUGACUAUACUGCCUGAAUAAAGCCCACAGUGUGGGUUGUGACAUAUGCCUAAGCCAAAAGCCUCAGUAAGGUGACCCUCCUGCCUAGUCCCUUCUCACAGGUGGCAUUGUGAUAUACCUCUGGUCUCAUUCCCAGAUGAUGUGAUUGUCAUCUCCUGCCUGGGCCCGGUUCAUAAAGGGGAUUGUGACAUAUUGCUGAGCCAGGAAUCAUGUGAUGUAAUCUUUCAGCCAGGGUUCUGCCCACAGGAGGCAUUGUGACAAAUCACUCGUCCCAGCACCAUAGUGAUGUGAAUUUCCUACCAGCACUCAACUCACAGAGGGGAUACUAAUACACCCCUGGCUGAGUAUUCAGGUGAUGUGACUCUCCUGCCUGGUUCUGCCCACAGGUGGGAUUCUGGCAUAUACCUAGGUUCGGAUUACAGGAAUAAUAAUGACUGUCAUGUGAGAGCCCAGCCAAUAGACGAGAUUCUGACUCUCAUAGCUGAGCUUAGAACAAUCAGUAAGCUUCUAGGUCUCCUAAUUGUAUCACAGUUACAGAGGAUUUUGACAUUCAUAAAUAUUCUAUAAAAUACUUGCAUCAUAUCAGAGCUCAUUACAGAGGUAAAAUUGUGCCUCUCAUAUGAGGCACACUAUCCAAAAAUUAGGAUUGUCACUCUCACACCUGGACAAAGCCCACUGGUGAGGGUUCAACAGUCCACAGUUGAAUUUGGGACUGUCAUAUGUGGAUCUGGCCACAGGUCAGGUGACUUGUUUCUGGACCCAGCUCAUAGGCAUGUCAAUGACUCUCAUACCUGGUUCCAGUUAAUAGAAGAGAUCUUGACUCUUGUAUCUAGGCUUAGGGCAAAAGAUAAGGUCCUGGAUUUCCUACUUUUACAGAGGUCUCAGAGAAUAGCAACACUCAUGCAUAUUGUAUAAUGCCCUCAGGUGGUACAAAAAGUGUCAAAACAGGGCCCAUGUCAAAAUUGAGAUUGUGACUCAUGUGUACACAGGCCACAGUUUGGAUUGUAACUAUUAAAUCAGAACAGAGUAUACUCAUGAGGUCCUGGAUGUCACUCACAGAAACAGUUCACAGUUGGAAUUGUGACUGUCAUAUAUGGAUCCAUCCACAAAUGGGAUGGUGACUAAUUUCUGGACCCAGCUUACAUACUGAUGACUCUUAUACCUGGACCCAACAAAUAAGAGAAAUGAUAACUCUCAUACCUGAACUUGGGGCAAUAUGUAGGAUCAUGAGUUCAUACCAGCAUGAAGGUCUCAGAGCAGGUUUUCAUUCUCAUGCAUACUGUAUGAAGCUCUUGAGUGGCACAGAAGGUGUCCUACAAAGACCCAGCACACAGAUGACACUGUGAUUCUUCUGUGCACACAUAACAUACAGUGAGGAAUGUCAUUAUACUAUAUGGACACAGCCCAUUGUUGAAGUUCUGAGUAUCACUCCCAGAUCAGUUGAAAGUUGAAUUUCAUACAUGGAUCCAGUUCACAGGUAGAAUGGUGACUUUUAUACUCAGCACACCUGUGAGGCUGAGACUGCCCUAAUUAGACAGUGUUUGCAGGUGAGUUUGGAGCUGUUAUGCAUGAAUUCUGUCCACAAUUGAGAUUGUAAUUUGUGUACUUAAACACAAUUCACAAAAGGAGUUUUCUCUUAUAACUUGAGCCAGGAAAUGUGUGGGACUGUGACUCUCAUCCCUGGACCUUCUGCAGGUGUGACUCUGACAUAAUUUUUUCUCAGCACCUGAUUGACUUUACUCUCUUGCCUGAGCUCAGCUAACAGUUGGGAUUGUGACAUAUACCUGGCCCAAACACCUAGGUGAUAUGACUGUCCUGCCUGGGCCCUGCCCACAAGGAGCAUUGUAAUGUUAUCUCUGAGACCCUCACCUAGGUGAUGAGACUCUACUUUCCUGACUAUCCCUUUCUCCAGUAAAAUUUGUGACAUAUAAUCUGGGCAUGUUAUCUAGGUGAUAUGACUCUCCUCUCAUGACUGGGCCCUGUUAACAGGGUGGAUUGUGACAUAUUACUGGGCCCAGCACCUAGAUGAUGUGACUCCCCUUUCCUGCAUGGGCCCUACGUACACAAGGGAUUGUGACAUAUUGCUGGGCCAAGCACCAAGGUGAUCUGGCUCUUGACUAGGUUCUUCCUAAAGUGGGCUUUGUGACAUAUUACUAAACCUAGCAUAAAGGUGAUAUGGCUUUCCUGCGUGGGUCCUGCCCAUGGAGGGAUAUUGAUAUUUCCCCAGCCCAGCAUUCAGCCAAUAGAUGAAAAAAGAUUCAAGGAAGACACAUUUGCUUUUUAUUCACUCAUCACUUCCCAUCACUAUGCUGACCAGAGUCAAUGUGAGCAGAGUUGAGAAUAGCAGUUUUCUGGCAGGAGAGCCACUUCUCAGCAAAAAAUGACACACUCAAAGUAUAAAUCUUUCAUGGAAGGCUCACAUAUUUUCAGCAAAUUAAGCAUAUGCAUGAAUAAAAUUCUUGUGGUG
rnacentral:lncRNA from 1 species